GACGUAGGGCGCAAGCGUUGUCCGGAUUUAUUGGGCGUAAAGAGCUCGUAGGCGGCUCGUUGCGUCGGCUGUGAAAACCCGCAGCUUAACUGUGGGCCUGCAGCCGAUACGGGCGGGCUGGAGUUCGGUAGGGGAGACUGGAAUUCCUGGUGUAGCGGUGAAAUGCGCAGAUAUCAGGAGGAACACCGGCGGUGUAGACGGCUUGCUAGACCACCCCUGACGCUGAGGCACGAAAGCGUGGGUAGCAAACAGG
rnacentral:rRNA from 1 species